GUGCUCGUUUUGGCAGCACAUAUACUAAACUGGAAUACAGAAAAGAUUAGCAUGGUCCCUGCACAAGGGUAACACCCAAAUUCAUGAAGUGAUCCAUGUUUUU